AUGGACAGCCAGGCGGAAGGCGAUCCACAAAUCAAACUUCCAGAGUCCACAUGCCACUCAUCACUUUGUGCAGCGGUUCAUAUCAGAGAUGGAAGCAAUAAAAAAGUUCUGAAUAGCACUGUUUGUGUGGUGCCAGCUAGGCAACCCCAGAGGUGGAAACCUCCAGUAGCAGGUAUGGUCAAAAUCAAUGUCGACGGAGCGCUAUCCCGUGAUGGCGCCACCGGUGCUUCUGCUGCUAUUUGUAGGGACGACGAAGGUCGGUUCCUAGGAUCCUCGUCGAUGGUGUUUCCUGGAGUUACAGACCCUGCCUGUUUGGAGGCCUUAGCAUGUCGAGAAGCUCAAGCACUAGCCUUGGAUUUGAAUCUAGGCAGAGUCAUUAUUUCAUGCCACGGCAAAGGGGUAGUGGAGGACAUAAAAAAUGAUGCUUGUGUCAUGAAUGGCACUAUCAUUCGUGAGAUCAGGGAGAACCAAUUGCUUUUUCAGGCUUGUAAUAUUAUAUAUGAAGGUAGAGACACGAACAAAGAAGCUCAUAGUUUGGUAAAAAUUUCAAUUUCGCUUAGUAGGGGUCGGCCAUUUGUGGCUAGGAUACCUGCAUGA
rnacentral:rRNA from 1 species